rnacentral:tRNA from 1 species
ACGGCUGUGGUCUAGUGGUAUGACAUGACCCUCCCAAGGUCAUUGCCCGGGUUCAAAACAGCUUCUUGCU